GGGGAAUUAGGUCAAAUGGUAGAGCGCUCGCUUUGCAUGUGAGAGGUAGGGGGAUCGACGCCCUCAUUCUUUA
rnacentral:tRNA from 1 species